CCCUCUCUUUCUAACUGAGGAAUUCAAUUCAUGCCUUUGGAUUCAUCAAUUUGAAAGGAUUUGUGAAAUCAAAAGUAUAGGUGAGUUUGUUGAGCUCUAACCAUGUGUAUUUUUUUAGUCCUAACUUUUGUGGGAUCUGGUGAGGAUGAAAUGUAUUGAUGUUCGCAACCAUUGUUUUGUCUUUGAGGCAUCAACUAUGCCCUAUGUUCUUCUUAUUCCUCAAUACAGGCGACUAUUACUCAAAGUUCAGGGGCUUUUGGCUAUUUUCAAGAGUUUUGAUAGCGCAUAAAGGUGGAAAAGUUGUUGCUGCAGAACUAGGAAAUGCACUAUACAGCCUUGGAUAUGCAAUUUGAAUUACUGUAUGAGUACGUGUUGUUUUCAUAUCGAUGUAAUAAAAACAACAUUUGAUGAUAUAUGUGUGUAUACUCAUUUUAUAAUAGCCUCUCUUGUUAAUAGGCACAACGAGUCUCAUUUAGGAGCUAUCUUUUGAUGCCUUUGGUAAGUUCAUUUGGUAAUGCUUAUUUACUUUGUAGGUAACUAAAAGUGACAUUUGGUUCUCUAAAACUGUGUUGUAUUAUAAUAUUAGAAAAAUAAGAUUUUAUUG
rnacentral:lncRNA from 1 species